rnacentral:sRNA from 1 species
CGUCUCUCGGCGCCUCUGCGCGCGGGAAGAUGGCGGAACAGUCUACCAAGUCCGUGCUGUUCGUGUGUCUGGGUAACAUUUGUCGAUCACCCAUUGCAGAAGCAGUUUUCAGGAAACUUGUAACCGAUCAAAACAUCUCAGAGAAUUGGAGGGUAGACAGCGCGGCAACUUCCGGGUAUGAGAUAGGGAACCCCCCUGACUACCGAGGGCAGAGCUGCAUGAAGAGGCACGGCAUUCCCAUGAGCCACGUUGCCCGGCAGAUUACCAGAGAAGAUUUUGCCACAUUUGAUUAUAUACUAUGUAUGGAUGAAAGCAAUCUGAGGUAAUCCUGUUUUUGAAGAAUAUUUCUGUUCAACUCUCAGUUCAGCAAUGGGCCAAGUAAUUUGUUGUCCAGAUUUACUUUUUCUAUUUUAAAGGUUUUAAUAGUCAGUGAUGGUCACCAUAUGUAGAAUUAUUUUAUUUAGAACAGCAAAAAACUUAGUAAUCUAGAAUUGUCUCUUAGGUAUUUACAAGGAAAUACACCUUAGAAAAGGGAAAGUGUGGUUAUUAAUAGCAUGAUUUAAUUGGAAAACUAGCUUGGCUGUGAUAGUUUUGUAUCAGGCACAUUGUUCUGCAUGAGAACGAUUUUGAUAUUUUUGCUGUAAUGAUUCCUGGGCAGGGCAGUGUUUUAUUGAUUCUCAGGCCAAAGCUCUGCAACCAUAGGUUCCUCUUAUUAUCCCAUCUUGUGAAAGA